CACUCCCCGCACCCCGAGAGCCCUGCGCUGGUGGAGGGUCCUCGAGGGACAGCAGGGGACAGCGACGGGGUGGCAGGGGGGCUGCCCUGGCCCCUCUGGCACAAACAGCGCCAAGUGGAGGAGGAUUUCGGGGACCUGCUGGAGCAGUACAAGCACUUCAAGUCCUUGCCAGAGUC